rnacentral:rRNA from 1 species
UACGUAGGGGGCAAGCGUUGUCCGGAAUCAUUGGGCGUAAAGAGCGUGUAGGCGGUCCGGUAAGUCGGUUGUGAAAGUCCAGGGCUCAACCCUGGGAUGCCGACCGAUACUGUCGGACUAGAGUUCGGAAGAGGCGAGUGGAAUUCCCGGUGUAGCGGUGAAAUGCGCAGAUAUCAGGAGGAACACCUAUUGCGAAGGCAGCUCGCUGGGACGUUACUGACGCUGAGACGCGAAAGCGUGGGGAGCAAACAGG